UACGUAGGGGGCGAGCGUUAUCCGGAUUUAUUGGGCGUAAAGGGCACGCAGGCGGUCGUGUAAGUUUGGGGUUACAGCUCCCGGCUCAACUGGGGAGAGCGCCUUGAAGACUGCAGGACUUGGAGGGCCACAGAGGGAGCACGGAAUUCCGGGUGUAGUGGUGAAAUGCGUAGAUAGUCCGGAGGAACACCAAGGCGAAGGCAGUGUCCUGGGUGGUACCGUGACGCUCG
rnacentral:rRNA from 1 species